rnacentral:rRNA from 1 species
GACGAACGCUGGCGGCGUGCUUAACACAUGCAAGUCGUACGGUAAGGCCCUUUCGGGGGUACACGAGUGGCGAACGGGUGCGUAACACGUGAGUAACCUUCCCACAACUUUGGGAUAACGCUAGGAAACUGGUGCUAAUACUGGAUAUGUGCUCCUGCUGCAUGGUGGGGGUUGGAAAGCUCCGGCGGUUGUGGAUGGACUCGCGGGCUAUCAGCUUGUUGGUGGGGUAGUGGCCUACCAAGGCGGCGACGGGUAGCCGGACUGAGAGGGUGACCGGCCACAUUGGGACUGAGAUACGGCCCAGACUCCGACGGGAGGCAGCAGUGGGGAAGAUUGCACAAUGGGCGCAAGCCUGAUGCAGAAACGCCGCGGGCGGGAUGACGGCCUUCGGGUUGGAAACCGCUUUCAGCAGGGACGAAGCUUUUUGUGACGGUACCUGCAGAAGAAGCACCGGCUAACUACGUG